rnacentral:rRNA from 1 species
UACGUAGGGUGCGAGCGUUAAUCGGAAUUACUGGGCGUAAAGCGUGCGCAGGCGGUUUGUUAAGUCUGAUGUGAAAGCCCCGGGCUCAACCUGGGAACUGCAUUGGAAACUGGCAAGCUCGAGUAUGGCAGAGGGGGGUGGAAUUCCGCGUGUAGCAGUGAAAUGCGUAGAGAUGCGGAGGAACACCGAUGGCGAAGGCAGCCCCCUGGGCCAAUACUGACGCUCAUGCACGAAAGCGUGGGGAGCAAACAGG